GACGAACGCUGGCGGCGUGCUUAACACAUGCAAGUCGAACGCCCUGAUUUUUCGCAAGAUUGAUCAGGGAGUGGCGAACGGCUGAGUAACGCGUAAGUAACCUACCCUUAAGUGGGGGAUAACUUGCCGAAAGGCAGGCUAAUACCGCAUGUGCUGGUAAGCGCUAGCUUAUCAGCAAAGCUUUUGCGCUUGAGGAGGGGCUUGCGUCUGAUUAGAUAGUUGGCAGGGGUAAUGGCCUACCAAGUCGAUGAUCAGUAGCUGGUCUGAGAGGACAACCAGCCAGACGGGGACUGAGAUACGGCCCUGACUCCUACGGGAGGCUG
rnacentral:rRNA from 1 species